rnacentral:lncRNA from 1 species
AGGAGGCCAGGAACCAUCUCUGCUGGAGGAAGACCCACCACGCAUCCCUUCAAGAAUGCCAAGGUCCAGAGCAAGUGCUUCCCUUCUAUGGGCACAGGAGGGCUGUGGGAGCCCACAGAAUGUGCUUCUGGCCAGAGUGGGAUCCCCGAGGAAGAUGUUAAGACCUCUAAUAAUAUUUAAGAGCAAAAUUAGCACAGCUCCAGCCCAUGGGCAAGUUAAGAGACAGGAGUAGUGUCUGUGGAGUGGAGGAAAGCAGAGGCUGCCGCUGACCAUCCUGCAGCCCUCGCUCUGGCUGCUCACAGCUCUCCACCUUCUCUGGACUUCGUCACUUCAGUAUGUGAAACAACCAUUUCAACCAGCUUGGACAAAAGAGAGAAGCCAAGAUGGGGCUGAGAAACCAAUGCAGGCAGGCCCAGGGACCCAGGAGUCAGGGACCAGGUGCUACCAGAUGCUUGCUCCGACUCGUGUUGCUGCUGUCUUCUCUGUGCCUCAACUCUGUCCUCUGUCACUGCAGGCAGCUUCCUCCCAAGGUGGGGAGAGAAUGAGGAAAAUGUGAGAGGCUGGAGACACUGGAGAGCCCUUGAGGAUCACCGGCCGGGAUGCGAGCAGGAGCUGAGGCAUCAGGAGUCGUGGAGAAUGAUGUGGCCUGGACGCUGGGCAGACUCUGCUCCUCAGAGCAAGAAGCAAAGGGGAAUUGCUUGAAAGGCGAGUGAUGUGUGGAAGAGGAAAGCAGGGCAGAGGGAAAACCUGGAGUGUGCCUAAUGGCUUUGACUUUCCUGACAAAGUUGGAAGGGAGGCUGAGGAUAGGAGGUCAGGAAAAGGCGAGGAAGGGGCUCCAGGAAGCUGCAGGAGAUGAAAUGUCUUGGGCAGCAGUCUCCAGUCCAACAGCAGAGGCAAACGGCAUUGUGAGCAGAACGAAGUAAUCAUUCAAAGCAAGAAUGCGUAUGUAGUUAGGUUCUGUGGUUUUCUAUGGCCAUCUCUUUAGCCUGGGAGCAAAAACUAGAGAAUGAGAGGCAGAGAGAGACCCCAGAUCAGACAUUUGCCUAAGACAAGGGACAAGAGUGAGGCACACAUGAGUCUAGACAUUGGAGCAAGGGGCUGCCCAUGGCAUGGGUAGCUGACAAGGAUUUGAGCAGGGCCACAGGGGGUGAACAGAAUGGAGACACUGAACUGCUUGCCGGGGAUUGGAGGAGUCAGCAAUGAGAUGUGGCCUUGGUGGUCUGGGGCGGCUAUGGAGAGAGGGAGAUUUGUGAAGCUCUCCAGGAACAAGUUGCUAUUUUAUUUUAUUUUACUAUUUUUUUCUUGAGAUGGAGUCUCACUCUGUUGCCCAGGCUGGAGUGCAAUGGCAUGAUCUUGGCUCACUGCAACCUCUGCCUCCAGGGUUCAAGUGAUUCUCCUGCCUCAGCCUCCUGAGUAGCU